GACGGGGGAUGCAAGCGGUAUCCGGAAUCACUGGGCGUAAAGCGUCUGUAGGUGGUGAUGCAAGUCACUGGUGCAAAACUCUGGCUCAACCGGAGGAAAGCCAGUGAAACUGCAUGACUAGAGUGUGGGAGAGGUAGAAGGAAUUCCCUGAGUAGCGGUGAAAUGCGUAGAUACAGGGAAGAACACCGGAGGCGAAAGCGUUCUACUGGAACACAACUGACACUGAGAGACGAAGGCUAGGGGAGCGAAGGGG
rnacentral:rRNA from 1 species